GAGGCGCUGAGAGCCAGCGCUGCCAGACCGGCGACGGCGGAGACCGGAGUCGUUCAGGGGGGGUUCGGUGAAAUUGCAUUUUGGUCGCAGCCGGUUCUGAAGGAGACGGGGAGCACUGAACGCUGGUGGCACCCGUGCUAGCCAGUGCGUCGCCGGACCGAGCUAGACGGGUUUCCACUCGGAUCCUGGUAUUUGGCGUUUACUAGCAACAAUUCACUGACGGUUCGCGGCAAGGAUGCCCAUGUUCGCGGAGUCUGUGACCUGGCAUCGCCCACACAUUGCAAUGUGGGAGCUGCCAGUCCUGACACACCCAUGACAAACCGCGCCUCAGGGGAAACCUGGUGUUGCGGCUCCUUUAUAGUAGGCGACUGUAGCGAUACGGGCAUCAGCGAGGCUUCUGAAGACACUGUCGACACCACGGGUCUCUUAACAUGUCGUUCCACUACCUGCUGUCGACGAGAGAUUGGAUCCAUAUCGACAGGGCAUUUCCGGAACAUGAUAGACCCGACUCUGUUGUGGCCGCUCGUUGUUCGUCAUCACGAACAGGCAGUAGAAGCUGUGCCCAUCUAGUGCUUGUGGACCCCUGCAGUGUACCAGUCCUGCAAGUGUGUGUGUGUCUCUUGGGGUUCCUCUCAAUGAUCAUAACCUGUUGCUGGAGAGAGAUCUCGGCUACAGGUGCAGCAGCAAUCAGAGUGUUGGCGUCGUGUUCGUGGGGAACGCAGCUUUGCCCGUCGGAUAGCAGAUACGUAGCGCAGCCGUGAUUCCGGGGGAAGCCCGUCUGUGCGGCUUGCUCGUCGAACGGUUUUCCAUGCCUGACUUGCCUUGCUUUUUUUGUGCCGACUGGCCUGGAUGGAGAGAGCAGUACCAAAUGGUGAUGUCGUUCGUCCGGUGGCGUCCGACGCGCCGUCGUGCUGGACAAAGGGUUGCACGCCUUGGUGCAGAGCCUUCUGCAUCCACGAGGCAUGUGAUCCACGACUUCCGACGGCCUCGGCUUAUGCAACUACCUGCCGGGUCGUCGUCGCUCGCGUGAACAUGGUGCGGCGAUGCGGACCGUUGGGAUGCCUAACCCUCCCGUUUGGUGCUUCUCCAUCUAACUGGAAUAGGGACACAGCGGCUUGCAAGAGCCUGCGCCUUUC
rnacentral:lncRNA from 1 species